rnacentral:rRNA from 1 species
UACGUAGGGUGCGAGCGUUAAUCGGAAUUACUGGGCGUAAAGAGUGCGUAGGCGGUUCGUUAUGUCUGCUGUGAAAGCCCCGGGCUUAACCCGGGAAUGGCAGUGGAAACUGGCGGGCUUGAGUGUGGCAGAGGGGGGUGGAAUUCCGCGUGUAGCAGUGAAAUGCGUAGAGAUGCGGAGGAACACCGAUGGCGAAGGCAGCCCCCCUGGGCUAACACUGACGCUGGAGGCACGAAAGCGUGGGGAGCAAACAGG